GGAGGAGGAGGAGAAAUAGAUAUUAGGUUGAUCUUUCAUUUCCCAGCAAGCCACUCCUGUUUCAGAUGUUUAUCUCUGGCAUACUGGUGUAAAUCAGCUGAAAGCAGCAAGAUUUACCCCUGCUCUGCAGAGACGUGAGCUGCGAUCAGGCGCACAGUCGCGGUAUGCGUGCACAUCCACAAGAAAGCAGUGAGAGCACCGCACUCCUGUGGAAAAGAAACCUGCACUUGGCUGGUGGUGCCUUUGAACUGAAGUGUUGGAGCUUGCCCCAACAUGUGGGGGAAGAGGUUUCCAUCCAGAGAGGAAUACCUGUUGAAGAUUCAGAAGAUAUUUUCCAGAGUCCCAGCCCUGAGGCUGAAUGGGAACAGAGCUGGACUCACCCGAGGAAAAACAGAAGAUUAAUGAGGAAACCUACAAAAGAGAAAAGAGAGGCAAAGGCAUCUAGUCACCAUCUGAAGACUUCAGGAGACAGACGGUUAAACAGCACUCCUCCAUCCCUUUGCUGUAAUUUUCUUCUUAGCUCUCAUGCUGUUAUGUCCUCUUUCCAACAUCAGUGA
rnacentral:lncRNA from 1 species